rnacentral:rRNA from 1 species
CACGUAGGGCGCAAGCGUUGUCCGGAAUUAUUGGGCGUAAAGAGCUCGUAGGCGGUCUGUUGCGUCUGCUGUGAAAACCCGAGGCUCAACCUCGGGCCUGCAGUGGGUACGGGCAGACUAGAGUGCGGUAGGGGGAGAAUGGAAUUCCUGGUGUAGCGGUGGAAUGCGCAGAUAUCAGGAGGAACACCAAUUGCGAAGGCAGCUCGCUGGGACGGUACUGACGCUGAGACGCGAAAGCGUGGGGAGCAAACAGG